rnacentral:rRNA from 1 species
ACCCGAUGCAAACUGCGAAUACCGGAGAAUGUUAUCACGGGAGACACACGGCGGGUGCUAACGUCCGUCGUGAAGAGGGAAACAACCCAGACCGCCAGCUAAGGUCCCAAAGUCAUGGUUAAGUGGGAAACGAUGUGGGAAGGCCCAGACAGCCAGGAUGUUGGCUUAGAAGCAGCCAUCAUUUAAAGAAAGCGUAAUAGCUCACUGGUCGAGUCGGCCUGCGCGGAAGAUGUAACGGGGCUAAACCAUGCACCGAAGCUGCGGCAGCGACGCUUAUGCGUUGUUGGGUAGGGGAGCGUUCUGUAAGCCUGCGAAGGUGUGCUGUGAGGCAUGCUGGAGGUAUCAGAAGUGCGAAUGCUGACAUAAGUAACGAUAAAGCGGGUGAAAAGCCCGCUCGCCGGAAGACCAAGGGUUCCUGUCCAACGUUAAUCGGGGCAGGGUGAGUCGACCCCUAAGGCGAGGCCGAAAGGCGUAGUCGAUGGGAAACAGGUUAAUAUUCCUGUACUUGGUGUUACUGCGAAGGGGGGACGGAGAAGGCUAUGUUGGCCGGGCGACGGUUGUCCCGGUUUAAGCGUGUAGGCUGGUUUUCCAGGCAAAUCCGGAAAAUCAAGGCUGAGGCGUGAUGACGAGGCACUACGGUGCUGAAGCAACAAAUGCCCUGCUUCCAGGAAAAGCCUCUAAGCAUCAGGUAACAUCAAAUCGUACCCCAAACCGACACAGGUGGUCAGGUAGAGAAUACCAAGGCGCUUGAGAGAACUCGGGUGAAGGAACUAGGCAAAAUGGUGCCGUAACUUCGGGAGAAGGCACGCUGAUAUGUAGGUGAAGUCCCUUGCGGAUGGAGCUGAAAUCAGUCGAAGAUACCAGCUGGCUGCAACUGUUUAUUAAAAACACAGCACUGUGCAAACACGAAAGUGGACGUAUACGGUGUGACGCCUGCCCGGUGCCGGAAGGUUAAUUGAUGGGGUCAGCGCAAGCGAAGCUCUUGAUAGAAGCCCCGGUAAACGGCGGCCGUAACUAUAACGGUCCUAAGGUAGCGAAAUUCCUUGUCGGGUAAGUUCCGACCUGCACGAAUGGCGUAAUGAUGGCCAGGCUGUCUCCACCCGAGACUCAGUGAAAUUGAACUCGCUGUGAAGAUGCAGUGUACCCGCGGCAAGACGGAAAGACCCCGUGAACCUUUACUAUAGCUUGACACUGAACAUUGAGCCUUGAUGUGUAGGAUAGGUGGGAGGCUUUGAAGUGUGGACGCCAGUCUGCAUGGAGCCGGCCUUGAAAUACCACCCUUUAAUGUUUGAUGUUCUAACGUGGACCCGUGAUCCGGGUUGCGGACAGUGUCUGGUGGGUAGUUUGACUGGGGCGGUCUCCUCCUAAAGAGUAACGGAGGAGCACGAAGGUUGGCUAAUCCUGGUCGGACAUCAGGAGGUUAGUGCAAUGGCAUAAGCCAGCUUGACUGCGAGCGUGACGGCGCGAGCAGGUGCGAAAGCAGGUCAUAGUGAUCCGGUGGUUCUGAAUGGAAGGGCCAUCGCUCAACGGAUAAAAGGUACUCCGGGGAUAACAGGCUGAUACCGCCCAAGAGUUCAUAUCGACGGCGGUGUUUGGCACCUCGAUGUCGGCUCAUCACAUCCUGGGGCUGAAGUAGGUCCCAAGGGUAUGGCUGUUCGCCAUUUAAAGUGGUACGCGAGCUGGGUUUAGAACGUCGUGAGACAGUUCGGUCCCUAUCUGCCGUGGGCGCUGGAGAACUGAGGGGGGCUGCUCCUAGUACGAGAGGACCGGAGUGGACGCAUCACUGGUGUUCGGGUUGUCAUGCCAAUGGCACUGCCCGGUAGCUAAAUGCGGAAGAGAUAAGUGCUGAAAGCAUCUAAGCACGAAACUUGCCCCGAGAUGAGUUCUCCCUGACCCUUUAAGGGUCCUGAAGGAACGUUGAAGACGACGACGUUGAUAGGCCGGGUGUGUAAGCGCAGCGAUGCGUUGAGCUAACCGGUACUAAUGAACCGUGAG